CCAAAGGCUCUUUUAAGAGCCACCACUCCUUCAACUGAAGAAACGGU
rfam:Poecilia formosa, whole genome shotgun sequence.